AUCCAGAUGACGAGUCCCAUAUAAGACGAAACACGCGUCCUGGAU
rnacentral:hammerhead_ribozyme from 1 species